rnacentral:lncRNA from 1 species
CCGCUGAAUUUGUUUGCACCUGUCUUAUGUCAGGAAUCUGAUGUUCAGUACAUGAAGUUGUCCUUUGCAAUGAUGUGGUUCUUGUUUCUCUUUUUUUAUAUAGAUUAGAACCUUGGUUUUCACGUUUGGUUUUACACUAGUCAUUUUUAGGGCCCAGAUAGCUUGCUGUUCAGUGUGAGCCAAGGCUCUAUGUUGAAGGUUUACAUGAACUUAUGAACUUUGCUCAUUGUUGAAGGCUGUAUGAUUACCUAUUCUUUGUAGUUUGUUAUUUUCUGUGUUAUUUUGGUCUCUUGUGGAGAGUUGUCUCAUUGGCAAUCAUACCACAUCUUCUUUUUUAUAUUUAUUGAACCAAUAAUUAUUUGCUAAUAAUAUGAAUAAAAAUCUAUUAAAAGUUUUUAAUGAAUUAGAAAAACAGAAACUAAUAAACUAACAUUGUUUACACACAUGCAUGUAAAAUAUUGCUUAAACUCAAAGCUAAAAGUUAAAGUAGUUUUGUAUAAAUAUUCAAGGUACACAAUGUAAAAAAAUGUAUAUAUAUUUACGAUUACAAUUUAUGUACAUGUAUAUAUAAAUGAAUUUCUAUAUUAUUUUAACAAAAAAGUUCCUGUCAGUUAAAUAUUCUUUGACAACAUGGACAAUGUGUGAGGUACAUGUCAUUGCUCUGUCUUCUUAAAAUAUUUAGUUGUGUCCCAAUUAAUGAUA